rnacentral:rRNA from 1 species
AUUCCAGCUCCAAUAGCGUAUAUUAAAGUUGUUGCAGUUAAAAAGCUCGUAGUUGGAUUUCCGGCGUGAGGGAUCAGUCUGACUUCUAGUCAGUACUUGGUCCUCUCAUGCCGUCCUUGAAUGGUGCAUCCUGGCAUUAAGUUGUCGGGGUGAGAGCCGUUCAUCGUUUACUGUGAGAAAAUUAGAGUGUUUCAGGCAGGCUAGCGCCGGGAUACAUUAGCAUGGAAUAAUGGAAUAGGACUUUUUCCUCUUCUGUUGGUCUGAGGGGUUCGAGCAAUGAUUAAUAGGGAUAGUUGGGGGCACUAGUACUUUGCUGUCAGAGGUGAAAUUCUCGGAUUUGCAAAAGACUAACUUAUGCGAAAGCAUUUGCCAAGGAUGUUUUCAUCA